rnacentral:rRNA from 1 species
GAGCUUGCUCCCGGAUGUUAGCGGCGGACGGGUGAGUAACACGUGGGUAACCUGCCUGUAAGACUGGGAUAACUCCGGGAAACCGGAGCUAAUACCGGAUAGUUCCUUGAACCGCAUGGUUCAAGGAUGAAAGACGGUUUCGGCUGUCACUUACAGAUGGACCCGCGGCGCAUUAGCUAGUUGGUGGGGUAAUGGCUCACCAAGGCGACGAUGCGUAGCCGACCUGAGAGGGUGAUCGGCCACACUGGGACUGAGACACGGCCCAGACUCCUACGGGAGGCAGCAGUAGGGAAUCUUCCGCAAUGGACGAAAGUCUGACGGAGCAACGCCGCGUGAGUGAUGAAGGUUUUCGGAUCGUAAAGCUCUGUUGUUAGGGAAGAACAAGUGCGAGAGUAACUGCUCGCACCUUGACGGUACCUAACCAGAAAGCCACGGCUAACUACGUGCCAGCAGCCGCGGUAAUACGUAGGUGGCAAGCGUUGUCCGGAAUUAUUGGGCGUAAAGGGCUCGCAGGCGGUUUCUUAAGUCUGAUGUGAAAGCCCCCGGCUCAACCGGGGAGGGUCAUUGGAAACUGGGAAACUUGAGUGCAGAAGAGGAGAGUGGAAUUCCACGUGUAGCGGUGAAAUGCGUAGAGAUGUGGAGGAACACCAGUGGCGAAGGCGACUCUCUGGUCUGUAACUGACGCUGAGGAGCGAAAGCGUGGGGAGCGAACAGGAUUAGAUACCCUGGUAGUCCACGCCGUAAACGAUGAGUGCUAAGUGUUAGGGGGUUUCCGCCCCUUAGUGCUGCAGCUAACGCAUUAAGCACUCCGCCUGGGGAGUACGGUCGCAAGACUGAAACUCAAAGGAAUUGACGGGGGCCCGCACAAGCGGUGGAGCAUGUGGUUUAAUUCGAAGCAACGCGAAGAACCUUACCAGGUCUUGACAUCCUCUGACAACCCUAGAGAUAGGGCUUUCCCUUCGGGGACAGAGUGACAGGUGGUGCAUGGUUGUCGUCAGCUCGUGUCGUGAGAUGUUGGGUUAAGUCCCGCAACGAGCGCAACCCUUGAUCUUAGUUGCCAGCAUUUAGUUGGGCACUCUAAGGUGACUGCCGGUGACAAACCGGAGGAAGGUGGGGAUGACGUCAAAUCAUCAUGCCCCUUAUGACCU